ACAAAAUGACACACACAAAAUGACACACACAAAAUGACACAUACAAAAUGACUUUUUGUGUGUGUCAUUUUGUGUGUGUCAUUUUGUGUGUGUCAUU
rnacentral:pre_miRNA from 1 species